rnacentral:rRNA from 1 species
CCUACGGGUGGCAGCAGUAGGGAAUCUUCCACAAUGGGCGAAAGCCUGAUGGAGCAACGCCGCGUGGGUGAAGAAGGUCUUCGGAUCGUAAAACCCUGUUGUUAGAGAAGAAAGUGCGUGAGAGUAACUGUUCACGUUUCGACGGUAUCUAACCAGAAAGCCACGGCUAACUACGUGCCAGCAGCCGCGGUAAUACGUAGGUGGCAAGCGUUAUCCGGAUUUAUUGGGCGUAAAGAGAACGCAGGCGGUCUUUUAAGUCUGAUGUGAAAGCCUUCGGCUUAACCGGAGUAGUGCAUUGGAAACUGGGAGACUGGAGUGCAGAAGAGGAGAGUGGAACUCCAUGUGUAGCGGUGAAAUGCGUAGAUAUAUGGAAGAACACCAGUGGCGAAAGCGGCUCUUUGGUCUGUAACUGACGCUGAGGUUCGAAAGCGUGGGUAGCAAACAGGAUUAGAUACCCCAGUAGUC